rnacentral:rRNA from 1 species
GUUAAAAAGCUCGUAGUUGGACUUCUGUUCGAUUGUCUCCACUUAUUGUGUGACGAUAAAUUGAACAUCCCCUUUGAAAACCUGGCACCGUCUUAAGUGACGGGUUAGGGUUUCUUGGAAUUUACUUUGAAAAAAUUAGAGUGUUUCAAGCAGGCGAUUCGCUGGAAUACAUUAGCAUGGAAUAAUAGAAGAUGACCUCUGAGAUCAUUUUGUUGGUACAUUGGCGGGAGGUAAUGAUUAACAGGGACAGUUGGGGGCAUUAGUAUUUAAUUGUCAGAGGUGAAAUUCAUUGAUUAAUUAAAGACUAACUUAUGCGAAAGCAUUUGCCAAGGAUGUUUUCAUUAAUCAAGAACGAAAGUUAGGGGAUCAAAGACGAUCAGAUACCGUCCUAGUCUUAACCAUAAACUAUACCGACUAGGGAUUGGCGAGGACCUUUAAUGCCUCGUCAGCACCUUAUGAGAAAUCAAAGUCUUUGGGUUCCUGGGGGGAGUAUGGUCGCAAGGCUGAAACUUAAAGGAAUUGACGGAAGGGCACCAC